GCUGCAUGGCGUUGUCAACAAACAAAACGUUCCUUAGUCGGAUGCGGCGCCACCAUGCGUGGUAGAAGACAACAAUUUUGAAUCAUGCUACUGUUUGCACGAUAUGUCAGACCACGAUAAUACUGCCACUACUGUUACCAAUCAUUCUCAUGUGACUAAUACUCCACUGCUUCACUACAAUAUUAAGAGCUGUGCUCAUCCUUAUAAAACAAUCGAGGUUGUACGGGAUCUGAGAACAAUCUGUCAGAAAAAGCUGUGCAGGAAAAGCUGAAUGGUUGCUACUGAAGACAUUUGUCCUCUUCUCACACAUCAUCAUGGGCACUUCUUAUGGUGUCGAGACUGUGAGAGAACAUCUGUAGUGUGAACGUCAAAAUAACCCUUCGAAAAGAGCUUGGCGGGCUCAUCCCUUUUUAAGUGUCUUCAGAACGAGCCACGCAGCUCCCUGCCCAUUAUCUACCAUCGACAGUCUCCUGAAGUUGGAAACAGGAAGCUUUCCAAGAUGAAGACACGACGUAAAAGACGUUAUAACAACAGGUUGAAGGGGAAGUGAACCGCGGAGAGAAGGCGUCGAGUGAGCGGACAGUUUGUGAUACAGAGAAGAAUAACAGCAGCGACAUGGAUGAAGAAAGGGACACAGGAAACAUUGCUGACAACGACGGAACAGAUUCGGAGAAGCAAGACAUUUCCCCAUCGUCAGGGCAGGGACUUAAGGGACUUAAUCAAAACAGUUCAGUCUUUAUUAUUCUGUCUGGAAUUUGGCUUGCAGCAAAACUAGACUUUGUACAUUGAUUUUUUCUUUCUUUCUCUGUACCAGCACUGUGCAGGUUGUAAACACAAGAGGAAAGCAGUCCUAUUUUGUGUGGCCUAUAAAAAACUGUGUUCGUU